rnacentral:misc_RNA from 1 species
AACGCAAAUGGCGCUCUCGGGAUAGGCCUGGGAGCACGCCUCUUUGAGUGUCGAUUCAAUCAAACUCAGCGACCUGCUCUUAAUUGGUGCGGGAUGCGGCUGAACAUUGAGUGUCUCACGAAAGUGUGUCACUUUAAGCGGAGCGAGUCUCCUUUCUUCUAGCACUUGCUGAGUUUCGGCUCUGGCAUAGCCUAGGAUGAGUUUUGCCCUGCAAACUUGUGCCUGCUAGUGAUGCGGAUAAUCACAUCUGUGUGUUCCAUCAUGACUGGUAGGAGCGAGCUUCUGGCAAACGGCUUUAGUGUCCGGCUCUUUCUUGUGCGAACCUGCAUGAAGACUGUGAAGACAGAUCGGGGGCCCGCAGCAAUGCGCGGCUUUCAAUACCUCUUUGACUUAGACCUCAAAUGAAGCGAGACAACCCGCUGAACUUAA